rnacentral:rRNA from 1 species
CCUACGGGUGGCAGCAGUGAGGAAUAUUGGUCAAUGGGCGCGAGCCUGAACCAGCCAAGUCGCGUGAGGGAUGACUGCCCUACGGGUUGUAAACUUCUUUUAUAAAGGAGUAAAGUGAGGCACGUGUGCCCUUUUGUAUGUACUUUGUGAAUAAGGCUCGGAUAACUCCGUGCCAGCAGCCGCGGUAAUACGGAGGAUCCGAGCGUUAUCCGGAUUUAUUGGGGUUAAAGGGAGCGUAGAUGGGUUGUUAAGUCAGUUGUGAAAGUUUGCGGCUCAACCGUAAAAUUGCAAUUGAUACUGGCAGUCUUGAGUACAGUAGAGGUAUGCGGAAUUCGUGGUGUAGCGGUGAAAUGCUUAGAUAUCACGAAGAACUCCGAUUGCGAAGGCAGCCUACUAGACUGCCACUGACAUUGAGGCUCGAAAGUGUGGGGAUCAAACAGGAUUAGAUACCCGAGUAGUC